ACGCUCGACACCUACGGGAGCAGCAGUGGGGGAUAUUGCACAAUGGGCGCAAGCCUGAUGCAGCGACGCCGCGUGAGGGAAGACGGUCUUCGGAUUGUAAACCUCUGUCUUCGGGGACGAUAAUGACGGUACCCGAGGAGGAAGCCACGGCUAACUACGUGCCAGCAGCCGUAGUAUNGNGGCGNGNGACGAG
rnacentral:rRNA from 1 species